CCUACGGGAGGCAGCAGUAGGGAAUUUUGCGCAAUGGGCGAAAGCCUGACGCAGCAACGCCGCGUGAUCGAGACGCCCUCCGGGGUGUAAAGACCUGUCAGUUGGGACGAAACUUGACGCUACCCACAGAGGAAGCACCGGGCAAAUCCGUGCCAGCAGCCGCGGUAACACGGGGGGUGCAAGCGUUGUCCGGAAUCAUUGGCCGUAAAGCGUUCGUAGGCGGCACUUAAAGUCUGGUGUGAAAGGCAGAGGCUCAACGUCCGUACGGCACUGGAGACUUGCUGGCUAGAAUGCGGUAGAGGUAAAGGGAAUUCCUGGUGUAGCGGUGAAAUGCUUAGAUAUCAGGAGGAACACCGGUGGCGUAGGCGGGUUACUGGGCCGUAAUUGACGCUGAGGAACGAAGGCCAGGGUAGCGAAUGGGAUUAGAUACCCGGGUAGUC
rnacentral:rRNA from 1 species